GGGGUGAUGGCCUACCAGGCCGAGACGGGUAGCCGGCCUGAGAGGGCGACCGGCCACACUGGGACUGAGACACGGCCCAGACUCCUACGGGAGGCAGCAGUGGGGAAUAUUGCACAAUGGGCGAAAGCCUGAUGCAGCGACGCCGCGUGAGGGAUGACGGCCUUCGGGUUGUAAACCUCUUUCACCAUCGACGAAGCCAAAGUGACUGUCGGUGUAGAAGAAACACCGGCUGACUACGUGCCAGCAACCGCGGUAAUACGUACGGAGCGAGCGUUGUCCGGAAUUAUUGGGCGUAAAGAGCUCGUAGGCGGUUUGUCUCGUCUGCCGUGAAAACCCCGGGCUUAACCCUCGGCCUGCGGUGGAUACGGGCAAACUUAAGUUCGGUAGGGGAGACUGGAAUUCCUGGUGUAACGGUUAAAUGCCCAAAUAUCAGGAGGAACCCCGGUGGCGAAGGCGGGUUUUUGGGCCCAUACUGACCCUUAGGAACGAAAGCUUGGGGAACGAACAGGAUUAAAUACCCUGGUAGUCCCCCCCGUAAACGUUGGGCCCUAGGUGUGGGUGUCUUUCCACGGUUACCGUGCCGUAGCUAACGCU
rnacentral:rRNA from 1 species